CCUUGAGGCAGACCCAACUGUACGCCCAUCUUACAGAGAGGGAAACUAAAGGUAGAUGACUUGGCCCAAAUUCCCAAAGGUGGUAAGUGGGAGGGCCAGCUUGUCCAGAGGCGGCUUGACCCCCACUGCGUUCUACCGAUGCUGCUGCGCUGUUUCUCCUGAGGGUUCUCGGCACCCUGAGCUCUGCUGAGUUUGAAGCAGUCAUUGGAAAAAUUAUCUUCAAAGGAGAGAGGUGUGUCUUCUCUGCUCUUUCUGGCUGGGCAUGUGCCUGCAGCAGCCUCCUCCGCAGCCUGGCUUCACACACCCCUGGGCACCAGCACCUGCCUCAGCAGCAUCGAGCCAAGAAAGAAGGUGAAGGUCCAGGAAAGUGCGCUCAGUGUGAAAAGAGCUCUUAUUUUGGUUUCACAUCACCACGAGAUCCUUGGCUGAGGCAGAAGAAGGUCCGAGGCAGAGAAAGGAUGAGACAGGGUGACAGGUGCCUGCUUGGGGACCUUUAAGUCCAGGCAGCGGCCUGCCAGCCACGUCCAAAGCUCUGAGGUCAUUUCCCCUGAUACCAGAGACUUGGCGCCUGCUGGAACCCUUGGUGGAUUAGAAUGCCAGGGGUGCCCCGGAUCUGACGCCUCACACCCUGGCGCCUGGCAACGAGACCUGCUCCUCAGAGCCCAGGCCCUGUUGCAGGGGCAGAGACCCCCAAGGCGGGGGCCGUGGGGAGGGUGGUGAGUUGCCAAGACCCUGCCUACACCCUGCAGUGUUGACCUUGGACUCAGGGACACCCAAAUGGCAAGGGAAAAGGCAGACCCCUUCUGAAGACCUCAGAAGCUCUUAAAUGGAAUCCAGCUUAUACCCCUGUAGUGUUGAUGCCAACAGUUGCUAGGAGACAGCGGACAUCACAGGUGCUGGCAGGAGGGGAUCCCCAGAGCUCUGUGCAAUGCCUGGCCCCCGGCAGCUGCCCCAGCUCUGCCCACAGCCUCAGCCCUUUGCAGGAGCCAGAGGUCACAGCCAGAAGCCAGUGGCUUUGCUGAGAAAUCACUUACUCGGAGUAUGCAAACUGACAAACCUCGGAGAGGAGGCCAGGGUGGCGGGGAGGACAUCGGAUCUGUGGGAUCUGGGUGCCUCCCUACCUGGCAAGUCACAUAGCCUCUUUGAACUUGAGUUUUCUUCCAAUAAAAUGAGGAUAAUUAGACAACA